rnacentral:lncRNA from 1 species
GGAUUUUCCAAUAUGUUUGAUUCAGCUUGAGGUAUUUUGAUUUUUGGUUUGUUUUGUUUGUUUGGUAAAGAAUCGAUAUCAACUACAACAGAAGUUGUAUUGCAAGAAGUUUCUAAUUUGGACGAUUCCUUCUGCGUAAACCUAUUGUCCCUGGCAAUGGGUUCUGAUUGAGCAGGACAUUUUGGCUAAGAUUUUCCGACGAAUGUUGUAAAUAGUUUGUUAUCUACAAUAGAAACAGGAUCAAAUGGACA